UCUCUGGGGAAGGUAGAGCUGUGGUCUAGAAGAAGAUGAGACUGUUGGGUCUUCUCCUUUGCCUGGUGACGGCUCCCCAAGGUGUUCUGUGCCAGCUGCAGCUGUGGGAGUCAGACCCAGGACUGGUGAAGCCCUCGCAGACCCUCUCCCUCACCUUCUCUGUCUUUGGAUUCUCCAUGACAACCAGCAGUUACUACUGGAGCUGGAUCCGCCAGCCCCCAGGAAAGAGCCUGCAGUGCAUGGGGUAUGUAAGUUAUAGUGGUAGCAAGUACUACAACCCAUUCCUCAAGAGCCGCAUCUCCAUCUCCAGAGACACGUCCAAGAUCCAGUUCUCCCUACAACUGAGCUCCGUGAUCGCUGAUGAGACAGCCGUAUAUUACUGUGCAAGAGACACAGUGAGGGGAACCCAGACUGCACCAGCUGGACUGGGAGUGGGCGCCUAUGGAGAAAACAUAGGGAAGAUGGGGGCCCUGCAGCUGCACCAGCUUCCUCCUCAGCCUGGUGUCCUGGGUCUCCCUCCCUGGGGCAGCUUCCAGCAGGACACGGUGCCCACCUCACUCCAUGGGUUGCUCUUGCUGCAGGUGCUCAGAGAGGCUCAGCUGUCCCACUGGAAGGCUGGUUGUAAGACUCAGCUGUGUGGCUGCUGUGGUCCUUUCAACAACAUCAUUGGGCAUGAGGAGCCCCUGCACAGUUAG